rnacentral:rRNA from 1 species
AUUGAACGCUGGCGGCAUGCCUUACACAUGCAAGUCGAACGGCAGCACGGGUGCUUGCACCUGGUGGCGAGUGGCGAACGGAUGAGUAAUACAUCGGAACAUGUCCUGUAGUGGGGGAUAGCCCGGCGAAAGCCGGAUUAAUACCGCAUACGAUCUACGGAUGAAAGCGGGGGACCUUCGGGCCUCGCGCUAUAGGGUUGGCCGAUGGCUGAUUAGCUAGUUGGUGGGGUAAAGGCCUACCAAGGCGACGAUCAGUAGCUGGUCUGAGAGGACGACCAGCCACACUGGGACUGAGACACGGCCCAGACUCCUACGGGAGGCAGCAGUGGGGAAUUUUGGACAAUGGGCGAAAGCCUGAUCCAGCAAUGCCGCGUGUGUGAAGAAGGCCUUCGGGUUGUAAAGCACUUUUGUCCGGAAAGAAAUCCUUGGCCCUAAUACGGUCGGGGGAUGACGGUACCGGAAGAAUAAGCACCGGCUAACUACGUG